AGAGUUUGAUUCCUGGCUCAGGAUGAACGCUGGCGGCGUGCCUAACACAUGCAAGUCGAACGGAGCGCCCGGACGGAGUAUUUCGGUACAAAGACCGUGUGGCUGAGUGGCGGACGGGUGAGUAACGCGUGGACAACCUGCCGUGUACAGGGGGAUAACAGCCGGAAACGGCUGCUAAUACCGCAUAUGCGCACAGUGCCGCAUGGCACAGGGCGGAAAGCCUAGAUCUUAUCUAGUACGGUACACGAUGGGUCCGCGUCUGAUUAGGUAGUUGGCGGGGUAACGGCCCACCAAGCCCACGAUCAGUAGCCGGCCUGAGAGGGCGGACGGCCACACUGGGACUGAGACACGGCCCAGACUCCUGCGGGAGGCAGCAGUGGGGAAUAUUGCACAAUGGGGGGAACCCUGAUGCAGCGACGCCGCGUGAAGGAAGAAGUAUCUCGGUAUGUAAACUUCUAUCAGCAGGGAAGAAAGAGGACGGUACCUGACUAAGAAGCCCCGGCUAACUACGUGCCAGCAGCCGCGGUAAUACGUAGGGGGCGAGCGUUAUCCGGAUUUACUGGGUGUAAAGGGAGCGUAGACGGCCAUGCAAGCUCGGUGUGAAAGGUGCGGGCACAACCCGCAGACUGCACUGAGAACUGUAUGGCUGGAGUGCCGGAGGGGCAGGCGGAAUUCCUGGUGUAGCGGUGAAAUGCGUAGAUAUCAGGAGGAACACCGGUGGCGAAGGCGGCCUGCUGGACGGCGACUGACGUUGAGGCUCGAAAGCGUGGGGAGCGAACAGGAUUAGAUACCCUGGUAGUCCACGCCGUAAACGAUGUAUACCAGGUGUCGGGCAUCAAGGAUGGCCGGUGCCGUAGCAAACGCAUUAAGUAUACCACCUGGGGAGUACGUUCGCAAGAAUGAAACUCAAAGGAAUUGACGGGGACCCGCACAAGCGGUGGAGCAUGUGGUUUAAUCCGAAGCAACGCGAAGAACCUUACCCGGCCUUGACAUCCCGAUGAAUGUACAGUAAUGUGUACAGGACUUCGGUACAUCGGAGACAGGUGGUGCAUGGUUGUCGUCAGCUCGUGUCGUGAGAUGUUGGGUUAAGUCCCGCAACGAGCGCAACCCCUGCCCUCAGUAGCCAGCAGGUAAAGCUGGGAACUCUGAGGGGACUGCCCGGGAUAACCGGGAGGAAGGCGGGGAUGACGUCAAAUCAUCAUGCCCCUUAUGGCCGGGGCUACACACGUGCUACAAUGGCGGAAACAGAGGGAAGCAGCCCCGUGAGGGUGAGCGAACCCCAAAAAUACCGCCUCAGUUCGGAUUGUAGUCUGCAACCCGACUACAUGAAGCCGGAAUCGCUAGUAAUCGCGAAUCAGAAUGUCGCGGUGAAUACGUUCCCGGGUCUUGCACACACCGCCCGUCAC
rnacentral:rRNA from 1 species